ACCAAUGCAUGUUCCUAUUAUUAGUAAUUUAGUGUAUGUCAGAGGUCAGCAUGGAUUAACUUGGUCUUUAGCUACAUGUACAUUUACAUGUACUUUUAGUACAUUCGCAUCUGAUAGUAUCUUAUGUAAACUGUAACCAAACUGGACUAAAGUGUAGUCUCACUAUAGCCAGACCAUUCCUCAGCCUUUUGUCCACCCAAAUGACUGUAGGCUGGGGUAUGGUUUGGCUAAUGAGACUAUCUGAACUGGAUGGACAUACACGUACCAACAUGGUUUGUAUGGACCCCCAAGGCGCUAAUGUUAUUUUAAUUCAAUGAUUAUGAUUACAAAUAUUUACAAUAAUGAUAUUCAUUCAUAAUAAAUACAGAUGGUUGCAGAAUCUUUGCAACUUCUAGAUCAAUAUUUUGAAAUCUGCAAUCACUACUACACUCCUUAUAAGGAGGUGACACUUACAUUGCUUGCGUGUAAUAAUAAUUAAAAUCAUUGAACACGCCCACAUUAGAUUGUACAUGUGGUCAUAGGAAGCCAUUUUAAUAUUCACACUUACUUAAACGAGAAGGUGCGGUAUAAAAGGCGGUGCCCUGGGCAUGAUGGCUUUCGUUUUUUCACGUGUAAAAAUGUCUGCUCUAGAUGAUGUUGCUUCUUCAAGGAAAAACGCAGGCAGAGAGGGGUUUUGGUACCAAAUUGAGUUACAUUUUACUCUCAAAGAAGACAAGGACCAGUUCUAGUUAGGCUUGAUCAAGUUGAGGGGUCUUUAGCCACUAAAAGAAGGCGCUGGAAAUGCUGUCUCACAUUUAGUCGGGAAAGAGGAUCAGUUAGAGGCUCUAUCACAUGAUACUAGUUAUACUCAAUACUUCAGGUAUUGGUGAUGGGGGACGAAGAGCAGCCAUUUUGUGCAUAGAUAUAGGAUCGGCUAUUGGGACGCACAUGUUGGUGAUAGUGUCGUAUGGUUGACCGAAGGGUGAUCAAUUACAGUCAGUAUAAGUCAUGUGAUUUGUGCUGAAUUUCAGUUCAAUGAU